AGUACUUGCCCUCCUUGGGCUUUUCCUCCCAAAUAGCUCUUUUAGGAGAAA
rnacentral:snRNA from 1 species